ACUGUCAGCUGGAUCACAAAGGAGAAUUUCCCCCCGCAUAUCUGAUACUCUUUGGUCACUGAAGUUCAGCUACUUUUCCUUAUCUGGAAUCCUUCAGUGGCUAUUUAUUCCCUUCCACCUGUGACUAAAUGGACCUUUAAUCAAUUUGCAUCGUUUAGAAGCAAAGCUACUCUGGAAAGGAUGGUGUUCCUGUGCACUUAGCGCUGGUGGAGAUAUACUGCAGCCUUCCAGGGAGCCGCCGGGUUCAUAAUGGAAGGCAUGACAGGCACUUUAUGACCCUGAAGCGCUGUGAUUACAAGCUCUGAGCCUGUGUGAGGCAGGUAGGGAAGAUCCAUAUGUCAGGACAGCACAGCCAGGCCCCUCGUUGGAGCACUGCUAUCAUUUGGCUGGAAGCUGCAGAGCAGUUCCAAAGAACCAGCUCGGGACAGUAAAUGACUCCCACAGUCAAACUGAGCAUGCUCACCUCUCUGGUUGCCACACAUCGAUGUGCAGGCUGGUCCCUGGAUCCCCAACAGUUACGGCAGACUGUGAUAUGCAGAGGGAAGCAACACUUCUAGGGAAGAAUGUGGUCCAGACCACGUGGAGGUGGAAAUCACCAAGGCCUUGACUCCUCCUUCCCACUCAUUCUUCCAUGUCCUCACCUGUGAACUGGGAGAAUUCGGAACUGAAGUAAGUAAAGAUGGUGGAGUUCUUGAAGACAGCGGAAUCACUGGCCAGGAGGAACUCACUUCAGCGAUGGAGAGGACACUGAUGGAAACGGCACCCGGGCUCAGCGGCAGGCAGGAGAUGGCGAGGCAGGUCUGGAUGGAGUGGGCUUGACUGCCCACUCCCAGGGGCUCAGUCUCUGUCUCCUCACUGAUGUUUGACAUUUAUUUAAAAAUAGACAAAGCCUUCUGUUCUUCAAUCAGAGAUCAAAUUUAAAAUGCAAAUAUCCCCAGUGUUUAAAUUAACAUUAUGAUGCAAAUGCUUUGCGUCAAGUCCUUUACUUAAUGCAGGCUUUGAUAGAACAAUGAGCGGAAACACUGAAUGCAGGAAGAGAACAGAAAAGAAGUCUCCCUUUUAGGCCAACAAUGGAUUUUUUCCCUUUAUAAGCCUUGAUUACUUCUGUUUCAGAAUAAUAAUAAAUCAACAGAAUCAAAAAAGCAAUUUACACUUGUAGAUUGGGUUGUAGUCUACAAAAUAACUUCACCUCCAUUGCCUAGUUCAUUUCCCAGAACGAUGCUGUCAAGUAGACACAGUUCCCACUUGACUGGUAAAGAAAACCAGUUUCAUGGAGGCAAAGUGAGGACCUCAAGGUAUCACAGGUAGUGAAUAAUGGAAUCAGAUCUCAAAACUUGGUCAGAGGUCCAUUUAUUCAGCAAAUAAUCAUAAAGGACUGACUCUAGGCCAGACUUAUGCUAGGUGCUGGGGAUAAAAUGAUGGGUAAAACCCACACAGACUGUCCUUAUGGACCUUAGAUAUUAUUAAGGAGAUAAGUGCUAAUCAACUAAUGACAGAAAGAAAUGUAGCGUUACAGCUGUGAUGAGAGGAACGGAGGUGAUUACAAGAACUGACCCGGACAGAGCAGCCCGAGCGGAAGGGAGAGUUCUCCAGGGAGAGAGGCAGGGUGAAAGCUUCCAGGCAGAGGGAGCUCACACAAGCAAGAGCCAGCACAUG
rnacentral:lncRNA from 1 species